AGAAUGAACGCUGGCGGCAUGGCUAAGACAUGCAAGUCGAACGGACCAUAUAAUUGGGUAACCGAAAGUAUGGUUAGUGGCGAAAGGGUGAGGAAUAGAUAGGAACGUACCCUGUGCUCUGGGAUAGCGUCUGAAGCUUCGGCUUCUUCCGAAAGGGGCGGUAAUACCAGAUAAUGUCCUUCGGGACUAAAGAUUUAUCGGCAUUGGAGCGGCCUAUCUCCUAUCAGCUUGUUGGUGAGGUAACGGCUCACCAAGGCAACGACGGGUAGCGGGACUGAGAGGUUGGCCCGCCACAUCGGGACUGAGACACUGCCCGGACCUCCACGGAGGGCUGCAGUAACGGAUAUUGGGCAAUGGGCGAAAGCCUGACCCAGCAAUGCCGCGUGCAGAUGAACCCCUAGGGUGUAAACUGCUGUCAGGGGUCAAAAGCUGGUUUCGGCAUUGAUCAACCCCAAGAAGUCACGCUAACUUCGUGCCAGCAGCCGCGGUAAUACGAAGGUGGCAAGCGUUAUUCGGAAUCAUUGGGCUUAAAGGGCACGCAGGCGGAACAGUGUGUGUUGUGUGAAAUCCCCCGGCUUAACCGGGGAAUUGCACAGCAAACUGCUGUUCUUGAGGCAGGUAGGGGUGCAUGGAACUCUUGGUGGAGCGGUGGAAUGCGUAGAUAUCAAGAGGAACGCCAGAGGUGAAGACGGUGCACUGGGCCUGUCCUGACGCUGAGGUGCGAAAGCGUGGGGAGCGAACGGGAUUAGAUACCCCGGUAGUCCACGCCGUAAACGAUGUCUACUAGGUCGUGGGUGUUCUGACACAUUCACGGCCGGAGCAAAAGUGUUUAGUAGACCGCCUGGGGAGUACGGCCGCAAGGUUAAAACUCAAAUGAAUUGACGGGGGCUCACACAAGCGGUGGAGCAUGUGGAUUAAUUCGAAGCAACGCGCAGAACCUUACCUGGGUUUGACAUGCUUGUAUGCCUUCUCUGAAAGGAGUUAGGCUGCCUUCGGGUGAAACUUGCACAGGUGCUGCAUGGCUGUCGUCAGCUCGUGUCGUGAGAUGUCGGGUUAAGUCCUUUAACGAGCGAAACCCUUGCCGUUAGUUGCCAGCGAGUAAUGUCGGGGACUCUAACGGGACUGCCGGUGUUAAACCGGAGGAAGGUGGGGAUGACGUCAAGUCCUCAUGGCCUUUAUGCCCAGGGCUUCACACGUGCUACAAUGGCAAUUACAGAGCGACGCGAUACCGCGAGGUGGAGCAAAUCGCAAAAAAAAUUGCCUCAGUUCGGAUUGCAGGCUGGCAAUUCGCCUGCAUGAAGUCGGAAUCGCUAGUAAUCGCGUAUCAGCAAUGACGCGGUGAAUGUGUUCCUGAGCCUUGUACACACCGCCCGUCAAGUGAUGGAAGCCGGGAGUACCCGAAGUCGGGUUGCUAACC
rnacentral:rRNA from 1 species